UACGAAGGGGGCUAGCGUUGUUCGGAAUUACUGGGCGUAAAGCGUGCGCAGGCGGCUUCUCAAGUCAGGGGGUGAAAGCCCAGAGCUCAACUCUGGAAUUGCCUUUGAGACUGAGUGGCUUGAGUACGAGAGAGGUGAGUGGAAUUCCCAGUGUAGAAGGUAAAAUUCGUAGAUAUUGGGAAGAACACCGGUGGCGAAGGCGGCUCACUGGCUCGUAACUGACGCUCAUGCACGCAGCGUGGGAUCAAA
rnacentral:rRNA from 1 species